rnacentral:misc_RNA from 1 species
UUAACGAUUUACUUUUUCGUAUACUGACAGAAGUUUACUUGUGGUUUGGGUUGUCGCCGAAGCGACGGGGAGGUUCACACUGGUUUGAAGUAACGAGUACCGGAACGAUAAUCUGAGGGUGCUCUGGGGUGGAAUGCGAGGGCGAUCAUCUUGAGGGUGCUCUGGGUACGCACGCGGGAUUUAAUCUCCAUAAUUUCAGAAGAAUAAAAAGGCCGCGUCGACUUACCAAACGCCGCCGGACAGUGAGUUUCAAGCUCCAAUGCCGCAUCCACUUACCAAACGCACCGGACAGACCCACGGUUCCGGCAUUACGUGCUUAUAGCCCGAUGGGCUGGUCCCCCUGGACCCGUGGUCCAGGGUUUCCAUUGGUUCUUUUUUUAAUGAUCCUUCCGCAGGUUCACCUACGGAAA